rnacentral:rRNA from 1 species
CCCUUAGAUGUUCUGGGCAGCACGCGCGCUACAAUGGUCUUCGCAAACGGAUGCAUUCUCGAAGGAGAAUGCCAAUCUUGGAAUCUAUGCCUUGGUCGGGACAGUUGCUUGCAAUUUUUCGACUCGAACCAGGAAUUCCUUGUAAUCGUGAUUCAUCACAUCACGAUGAAUACGUCCCUGCCCUUUGUACACACCGCCCGUCGCUCCUACCGAUCGAAGAGUUAGGUGAAUUGUUUUGAUCGAUAAGAUUUGACUAUGGUCAACUCUCGUUGUGAAUUUCUGUGAAUCUGACUGUUUAGAGGAAGGAAAAGUCGUAACA